rnacentral:rRNA from 1 species
UCAGGAUGAACGCUAGCGGCAGGCCUAAUACAUGCAAGUCGAGGGGCAGCACAGGUAGCAAUACUGGGUGGCGACCGGCAAACGGGUGCGGAACACGUACGCAACCUUCCUUCAAGAGAUGGAUAGCCCGAAGAAAUUCGGAUUAAUACAUCGUAAAAUCACAGGGUGGCAUCACUYAAUGAUUAAAGAAUUUCGCUUGAAGAUGGGCGUGCGCCUGAUUAGGUAGUUGGUGAGGUAACGGCUCACCAAGCCGACGAUCAGUAACUGGCGUGAGAGCGCGACCAGUCACACGGGCACUGAGACACGGGCCCGACUCCUACGGGAGGCAGCAGUAAGGAAUAUUGGUCAAUGGACGCAAGUCUGAACCAGCCAUGCCGCGUGAAGGAUGAAGGUCCUCUGGAUUGUAAACUUCUUUUAUCUGGGACGAAAUCACUUUUUUCUAAGAGUGUGACGUACCAGAGAAUAG